rnacentral:rRNA from 1 species
AUACGAAUGGAGCAAGCGUUGUUCGGAAUCACUGGGCGUAAAGCGUACGUAGGCGGAUUUUUAAGUCAGAAGUGAAAGCCCAGGGCUCAACCCUGGAACUGCUUUUGAAACUGGAAGUCUAGAGUCCCGGAGAGGUUAGGGGAAUUCCGAGUGUAGCAGUGAAAUGCGCAGAUAUUCGGAGGAACACCAGUGGCGUAGGCGCCUAACUGGACGGGAACUGACGCUGAGGUACGAAAGCGUGGGGAGCGAACGGGAUUAGAUACCCCAGUAGUCC